UACAGAGGUGGCAAGCGUUGUUCGGAAUUACUGGGCGUAAAGGGCGCGUAGGCGGCCUUCUAAGUCAGACGUGAAAUCCCCCGGCUUAACCUGGGAACUGCGUCUGAUACUGGGAGGCUAGAGUAUGGGAGAGGAAGGUAGAAUUCCAGGUGUAGCGGUGAAAUGCGUAGAUAUCUGGAGGAAUACCGGUGGCGAAGGCGGCCUUCUGGACCAUAACUGACGCUGAUCCGCGAAAGCUAGGGGAGCAAACGGG
rnacentral:rRNA from 1 species